CAUUACCAUAAAGCUAAUGGAUUUAUAAUCAAAUGCAGAAUAUAAUCUUUAUAUAGGCACAGAUGACUGGGAUAUUAGAGAAGAGGGAACAUGUGCUGAAUCCAAGCGCUGGCAACACCCCAAGGUCAAAUAGACUGAGAAGAGUCCAGAAACACACAUAAAGUAGAAAUCCAUUGAGGGGUGGAGGAGAAAGAGAGACCAUUGAGACCAAGAGAGCAAACAAGCAAAAAGGAAUCUUGCCCUGAUAGGAAUAAAAGGCAAAGUUGAGAAAAGUGAGGAAUUCAGUUAUCCAUUUAUGGAAAUAUUAAGACUCAUAGAGAUGGCAAAUCAUGAUAAUUGAUU